rnacentral:rRNA from 1 species
AACCUGCCCACUGAAUUUUUUUAAAUGGCCGCAGUAUCCUAACUGUGCAAAGGUAGCAUAAUCAUUAGUCUUUUAAUUGAAGGCUGGAAUGAAUGGUUGGAUGAAAUAUUAACUGUUUCAUAAAAAUUUAUAAUAGAAUUUUAUUUUUUAGUCAAAAAGCUAAAAUAUAAUUAAAAGACGAGAAGACCCUAUAAAUCUUUAUAUUUAGUAAAUUACAAUUAUUUAGAUAAUUUAAAUUUUAAUUUUUUUAAAUAUUUUAUUGGGGUGAUAUUAAAAUUUAAUAAACUUUUAAUUUAUAAUAAACAUAAAUUAAUGAAUUUUUGAUCCAUUUAUAAUGAUUAAAAAAUUAAGUUACUUUAGGGAUAACAGCGUAAUUUUUUUAGAGAGUUCAUAUUGAUAAAAAAGAUUGCGACCUCGAUGUUGGAUUAAGAUACAGUUUUAGGUGCAGCAGCUUAAACUUAAAGUCUGU